AGGCACAAUUACAAUGUCAUCACAAGGUCAAACUUUAAGAACCAGAGUAAUUCUUAAUCAUCCUGAUUUGUCAAAAGACUAUACAUGUAAAGAACAGUCUGGAGGUGGAAACUGAUAGAUCAUUUGAAGAGGAUCCUGUUUAAGCAGUCAUAAAUAUGUUUCACAAAACAAUGAACACCUUGUUACAGCAUAUCUUGAACAGCCUAGCACAGAGAACUGUCUGGAGGUGGAAACUGGUGGAUCACUUGAAAAGGAAAC